rnacentral:rRNA from 1 species
GUACACGCUGUGACUAGCAUAUCAAUAAGCGGAGGAAAAGAAACUAACAAGGAUUCCCCUAGUAACGGCGAGUGAAGCGGGAAGAGCUCAAAUUUGAAAUCUUAAAGGGUUUCCCUUUACGAAUUGUAGUUUAAAGAAGUGUUUUCUGUUGAGGUUUUGGUAAAAGUUCUUUGGAAUAGGACAUCAUAGAGGGUGAGAAUCCCGUAUUUGACCUUUACUUUCAACUUUGUGAUACACUUUCAAAGAGUCGGAUUGUUUGGGAAUGCAGUCCAAAAUGGGUGGUAAAGUUUCAUCUAAAGCUAAAUAUUGGCGAGAGACCGAUAGCGAACAAGUACCGUGAGGGAAAGAUGAAAAGAACUUUGAAAAGAGAGUUAAACAGUACGUGAAAUUGUCAAAAGGGAAGCGUUUGACACCAGUGUUGUUUUUCUGAAAAUCAAUUAAAGAACUGUUUAUGCUAAGUUGUUUAGACUUUAUCAGCUAACUGUUUAGUUUUGAGCUUUUCUUUAAUGCACUUUUCAGUUAACAAGUCAACAUCAAUUUCUUUUGCUGUAAAAAAGCUUGAGGAAGGUGGCUUGAGAUUCGUCUUAAGUGUUUAUAGCCUCUUGCCUAUGCAGUCGGAGAGAUUGAGGUCUGCAGCGUAGAUCCUUCGGGGCUAAAUGCAUUUGUGCUAAGUUAUAGCAUUUUAUAGACAACUUGUUGACUAUGAUUUGUCUUGUAGCUUACUCGCUUAUGUUAUUUUACCUACGCUUAGGAUGUUGACAGCAGUAUAGACUGU